GUAACAACGAACGGCAGGAAGUCAGCAGAGGUCAUAGUAGCGGAAAGAGAGUCCGUGAAGGAC
rnacentral:ncRNA from 1 species